CCCGCUGAACUUAAGCAUAUCAGUAAGCGGAGGAAAAGAAACUAACGAGGAUUCCCGUAGUAACGGCGAGUGAACUGGGAAGAGUCCAGCGCUGAAUCGCGGCGCCUCUGGCGUCGUGAGGUGUAGCGUAUAGGCGGUGAGCGUGGGUCGGUGCGCCCGUUCAAGUUUCCCUUGACCGGGGCUCCAGAGAAGGUGCAAGACCUGUCCAACGGGUGUUGCCGGCCCAUCUUCGCAUGCCACGGAGUCGGGUUGUUUGGGAGCGCAGCCCAAAGCAGGUGGUAAACUUCAUCUAAGACUGAAUAUGACUACGAGUCCGAUAGCGAACAAGUACCGUGAGGGAAAGUUGCAAAGCACUUUGAAGAGAGAGUUAAAGAGGACGUGAAACCGAUGAGGUGGAAACGGACAGAGCUGGCGUAUCUGGCCUGUGUUCAGCUGCGGGUUCGUUGGCGUCAGGGAUGCCGCUCUCCAGAUUGGGACGGUGGCCUGUCUGCUGGCGGACUUGCGGUGCAUUGGCAGGUGGAGUGCGCUGAGGCGCUCGGUGCAGCGGCAUGAGCUCGGUCUUGAGGCCAGCCCUUCACGGGGUCUGGUACCCGGUCCGGGGGAGUGCUGUUUGCGCUGGGUGUGCUAUGUUGUGGGCGAUGGUUUCGGGCCCGGGUGGGUGUCGAGCUGGCAGUGGGUGGCGGUCGCAUGCGACACGUGCCGGCGGUCAGUUCGGUCCUGCUCGCGCUCUCAUCCGCUCGUCCUCGGUGUAAAAGCCGGUCAUCUGUCCGACCCGUCUUGAAACACGG
rnacentral:rRNA from 1 species